rnacentral:rRNA from 1 species
UACAGAGGUCUCAAGCGUUUGUUCGGAUUCAUUGGGCGUAAAGGGUGCGUAGGCGGCGCGGUAAGUCGGGUGUGAAAUCUCGGAGCUUAACUCCGAAACUGCAUUCGAUACUGCCGUGCUUGAGGACUGGAGAGGAGACUGGAAUUUACGGUGUAGCGGUGAAAUGCGCAGAUAUCAGGAGGAACACCGGUGGCGAAGGCGGGUCUCUGGGCCGUAACUGACGCUGAGGAGCGAAAAGCGUGGGGGAGCGAACAGG